GUUUCCUUGAUGUGUGACCAGGAGGUGGCGUGGGUUUCCCCACCAAUAUGGUAUGCCCGCGGAGCGUAACUGGCUGGUGAAGUCGCUAAGGGUCUUUCGCCAUUGGAGAGUGGCUCUGGUUAAGUCCUGGAAAAAAGUCAAUUGAGACUCCUCGAAGUUGAGUGGCGUCUUGCCCUUGAGUGCCGACAUUAUGUGUCCCCUAUCUUGGGGAAGGGUGCAGCGGACUAUGACGUCUCCUGCAAGGGGAGUAGAU